rnacentral:lncRNA from 13 species
GGCACAUAAAUCAAACAAACGAAAAUGUAACUAAUUUAAUUUUAAGAUCAUCAUAUUGUAGCCUAGGCUAUAUUGGGGAUUUCGUUUCAUUUUUCCAUAUACAAAUGAUUGUAGCCAAAAUACAAUUCCAGAAAUAUUCUACACUACAGUUAGACUAAAUGAAAUACAGACAUACGAAACUAGUUGUAGCAGUUAAGGUCCAUAUCCUAUACAAAACGUAUAAACUACUGUAUAAACAGGUGUAAUGGCUCAUAAUUCGCCUACACCUGCUCUAAUUUCACCCGCAGCCUGUGGUAGGAUCCAAAUCAUUUCCCUAAGACAUUUUUAAGAACGAUACUGCUCAUUACGAUGUAAUAGCUAGGCUACAAACAUCCAGUAAAAUAUUUUUAGAAAUGUUAUAUUGUAACAAAAUAAGAAAAUUAAAUGUUAGGCUACACAUGGUUUAUAUAUUUUACUGAAUGUAUUUUCUAGUCUAGCCUAAUUUUUAGGCUAAUAAUUGUUCUAGUUUGCUGAAGCAUGUCGGAAUUGCUUUAUCUUGGAAUAGGCUAACGGAUUACAGAAAUGUAAUGUUGCCAGAUGAAAUGUUUCUCCAACACAAUAAAUACAUUUUUAAAGGAAAAUACAGUCAUUAAAAAAAGUUUUUGAGGACCGAAGGUCUACCAAAUCGCAUUAUUAGCCUAUAUUAAACUAUUCUCAAAUAAGAAUCAACCUACCUGUUCUCGAUGCGCGACGAAAUGUGCAUUAGCAAAUCGAAUAAAACAUUACCCUAACCUAAGACUAGACUUAUUCUAAAAGCAUGGGGGGAAAAAUAAACACUUAAUUGAGGUGCCCUUUACUUUUUUUCGGAGCUCACCACUUUGAGCAGAACAUAUUCAAAUCAAUAUUUGUCUAGCCAACGCUUUUUAAAACAUCGCCCCAUUUCGACAAAAUAAAACUUCGUUCGAAGCUGCCUAAACCUCAGCAAAACUGUAGAAUUACAAUGAAACAAAGAAAUCCAAGCGGCGUCGUUAACUUCCUGAGUAUCAAAUGUCAAUUCCAACCCCGUUCCCCCCAUACGAUUCGCCUCUCUUUCCCAACCUUUCUUUUACCUGCGAGAGAGGCUCAAUCCGCGGCGUUUUGUCGACUCCAGGUGCGCCAGUCUCCUGUUGCCUCGUUUUCCUGCCUUCUAUCCUGCCGCAUGCUGCAAAGGCUCUACUUCUGCACACAAGCCGUUGCUCCUUGUUUGGGCUGUGAGAGCAAGGAUUUGCCAAUGGAAAAGAUAAUUAGUUUGUGGAGCUCGCGGGAGGCAAGGCAACAUUAAAAGUGCUUCGAUUUUGGCUGGAGGACCAUUGCAGCCUGAGCAGAUGAGGAUUGGUUGCUCUCUGGAUUAAAUUAUUUAAUGGAGAAUAAUUUGGUCCAGCCCCUCUUUAGGCUAUUGCUUGAUUUAACAAGAGGCUCUCUAUGAUUCUGUACCUAUGGUGCUGUGAUGGUUUUGGGACUACAUUGGCGAGAGGCCUACGUUGUAACCAUUAGGAAUAAAACUUGUAUAUUUUAAUGCCUUUUAAUUGAUAUUUCUAGCAAGUAUUUUGACCUCACAUACACAUAUUACAAAUUAAAUAGAAGUUAUCCGAAAUUCGUUUAGCAAAAUCCUGCUGUGGGUCAUUCUACCAUUGUUUUAUGGAGGGCAAUGAUACAACAUGAUACCUGUUAUAUAACAUCUAAACAUAAUAGUAAGUUAUUUUUUUGCCACGGACGUGUACGCAAGACAGUCCUGCUUGUGUCUGUCUGGAGAAAGUUAGACAGGUGUUUACCUGCGGUGCCCAACAGACAAAAGAGGCUCUGUCCAGGGUGGAAAGGA